rnacentral:rRNA from 1 species
UAGGGAAUCUUCCACAAUGGACGAAAGUCUGAUGGAGCAACGCCGCGUGAGUGAAGAAGGGUUUCGGCUCGUAAAACUCUGUUGUUAAAGAAGAACAUAUCUGAGAAUAACUGUUCAGGUAUUGACGGUAUUUAACCAGAAAGCCACGGCUAACUACGUGCUAG